CUUGACUAUAAUGUCUGCAUCUCCAUGGACACUGAAGAAGAGACGUGUUAGUUAACUCUCUCUCUCUCUCUCUCUCUCUCUCUCUCUCUCUCUCUGCAAUAGAGGAGAGGAAUGCUCAUGUGCAGAAGGCUGAGUUCAAGGACUGGAAAGAGAGAAAUCACUGUCUGAACGUUUAAGGAAGAAGCUGUAAUCUUCAACUAAGAAAAACUAAGCCCAUGCUUGGAUAAGCAAGUGAAUGUAAAUAUUUUUCAUAUAUUCCUCUUUCUGCAAGUAACAGCUUUUGAAUAUUUUCACAGGUGUUCAGACAUUGUUUUAAUUUCAAGAAAAGAGUUAGUAUUGUAAGUGAUUUGGCUUCCUAGCUGCAAUUUAGCUACUCUUCUGGCAGUCCUGUGAUCUGACCCCUACAACAUAGGAUGGCUGCCUUAUCUUGAGUCUUUUCUCCAUCCAGUCCAGGGCUGACUACUCUUGCAGUGGUUGGGGGCUUUCCAGCCCUGAGAUCUCUUUCUGUAGAGAUGCCAACAACUGAAGCUUGAACUUUCUGUAUGCAAACCAUAUGUGCUACCAAUAGGCUUUGCUCUUAUUCCCCUUCCAAAGACCCAGUGGUGGCUGUGCAUUGUCACCUAUUCAAAUUUGGUGAGUAGAUGCAUUGUCUUGCUUUUAGUAGAUUACCUAGUUCAGUGCUUUACAUGCUGUGUUCCUGGGAAUUUUAGGGUUCCUGGAAAAAUUAUAAGGGAUCUGUCCAUAAAAAUAUCAGUAAUAGUAAACAAGAUCUUGGGACGGUUACGGCUCAUCCACAAUUCCCUUUGCCCCACAAUUUUGCCUCCACUUUCCCUGGGAAAACCUGCUGUUUACUGCUGAAUCAAAACAAACAAACAUCCACAGAAAACCUGACUGGUGUUUAUUCCAGUUCCAAUUCAGCAGUAGACGGAGGGCUUUCCUGAGGAGAGUCGUGGAACAGAAGAGAAUCCUUUUAGGCCACUGCAUAGAAAGCUCAAGAUCAAUGUCUGAGCCCUGAGUUCCUGUGCAGCAACAGGCCUCCUGCUUGACACUGCCUGUGAACUUAGUGUGUGUGCAAAUGCUCAAGGGAGUAAGGUUGAUAAGCACUGCAACAACAAAUGAUGGAUGUAAAUAUUGCAGUAUUGCAACAGACAUAUUUGGGUUCUUUAGCAAUAAUAAGUUUCUCUCAAUUAAUUCAUAUAAAAUAUGUGUUUGGCAAAUAAACUUAAAAGCACUGGCCUAUUUAAAAUGCACAUUUUAAUCUGUUGUUGAUAAAUGCAUUCCUUGCUCUAAUAGUGAAACUGAUUAAUAACUUCAAGCUUAAUUUUAGAAUAUACUAUUUGUCAUCUGGAUAUAGUUAAUGGCAUUAUGAACACUGCUAAAGCUAUUGACUCUAAAGCAAGAUGUAAAGGGAUGAAAAUAUUUGCUUGUCUACUAAAGCCGUCUAACACUCAGCUUUUAUCAUCAUGCCCUAUUACAGGCCCCAGAGUUUAAUGUAUUGUGAACUGGCUUUGUGCAAGGUCAAGUACCCCGAAUUACAGAAGCCAUCCUGGCUUCCGAAUUGAUCCUAGAAUGUCCCAUUUUCCUUUCUCCUCCCCUCCAUAUCGCAGAGAACAAUGAAAAGUGGUGUAGAGAUCAGACCCCCACCUCCUCUCCUUUUUGGAAACAGGAGCUUUUGUCAUGAUUAAACAAUUUAAAUGGAGAGAGAGGGAGAGAUUUUCAAUUAAAUACUGCAGACUAAGGUGGAAACAGAAUGGAAUUGUGGGUAAAAUAUUUGAAAGUGACAGACCAGAAAUAGAUUUGUCCUCCUUAGUCCUCCCAUCCAAGUACCACCUGUUUCUUACCUAUAGAGUUUAAGACCCAGUUAUCAAAAGGGGGCUGCCUGUUCCCCAAUAAACCUGCCCCUGCAGUUAAGAGUGUCCUGGGAGGCCUGUGUCAAGGGGACCCCGCUUGACCCCCAGAGUCAAGGGAGGGGGCCGCCCAAAGGAGGGCCUCUUCUCUGCUUGCACACCAUUUCUGGAAGGGAUUUUACCUGGGCACCUACUUCGUUUAUCUUUAUAUGUGGUGUCAAAUUUGCACAAGCUUUCCAUUGAGCAUUGGAAUUUUCUUUUUGUUUCUGAAGAACGUGUGAUUGUGUUGUUUCUGCUUAUUGUGUUAUUGUGUAUUGAAUUUUUUUAAAAUGAUAUUUAUUGAGAAUUUUAAAGUUACAAAGAAAAAAAGAAGGAAAAAACAAGAAAAAGAGAAAAAGAAAGAAAAAAGUAGAUAAAAGUAACAAUUAAACAAUACAAAUCAAUAAAAACCAAAAUCAAAAAGAAAAAGCAUAACACACAAUGCAUCACAAUCAAAAAGCAAAAAUAAACAAAAAAUUUAAAAACAAAUCCAAUAUUCCCAAAUCCUUAACUUUCAUUAACUUAUUUCAUCGACCUCCUCACACCUCCCAUUUUUGUAUUCUAGUUGUUCAUUAUCUCAGCAAAUCCUUUCCAUCUUUCACAAUAUUCUGUCAUUAAAUUACCUUAAUCUAUUUUAACCUUAUCUUACCAUAAAAAACCCUAAAACUUAAAACUUAAAUCUUAUUUAUACUGAAUUCUUUUAACCAUAACAUAUUCUUACAUAAUUCUUUUUAACAUUACUGCUAAAGCCAAAUACUUUCAUUCCAACAUUUUUCUAAUACUCAUUAAUUUUACGAUACUUUUCUAAAUAAAUUUUUAAAACUUUCUUCCAAUCUUCAUCCAUUGUCUCUUCCUGGUCUCGGGUUUUGUCAGUCCUUUCUAUCCCAUCCAUCUAGUCCAUCAACCUGGUGACCUUAUAUCCGAGGCUCUUAAGUCUUUUCCAUGUCCCUUCCGCAGGUCUUCUUCAUGUUUAUACCUGUACUUUACUUUGUCUUCUGCUCCUUUCACUCGGGGAGACUCCAGCUUGACAAUAUUUUUGUCCCUUCUCAACAAGUCAGCCCCUUUUCCAUAGUCAACACUGAAAUCCAUGUGGUAUUUAAAGGCAUGUUUCAAGGUCCCUCCAAAGUUAGGGGCCCCCACAACUCCGAGCUCCCCCUGGCCUAAAGCCAGACUUGAAAGAUCAAAACAUCCCUGCAUAGGGGGGUCCAUCCAGCCCCCCAUCUCCAAGCCAAACAGAACUCCAUCUCUCCAAAUCUGACUUUUUCCAGGUUCAUUCGUCAAAUCCAACAACUCAUGUUCCUGCUGGGCCACAGCUCCCUCCAUCUCUGCCACCCGAGGUCCAGCAACAACCUCCUCCCUCAUCUCAUCUGUCAAAGCACAUUCCUGGAUUAAUUCCUGAGUGGGUUCUAUAUAGGUACCCACUGCCUGUCCAAAAUUUCCGAUCGCAACAGUCAUCAAAUCCAUCUUCUCAUGUAACUGUUCCAAUAAAGCACUUGUCUUACACAAGGCAAGCACCAAAGCCUCUGAGCACAUUCUUGUUCAAGGUCGAAGUCUGGUCCCACAAUCUUUAAUCUUUACAGCUGCAAAGCUCCCCAGUUCGACUUUAAUAACAGUUCCACAAGCUCCCUCUAGGGGAAACAAUUUCUAUUUGUAUCCAUCUUUUGUUUUUUGUUUUUUUAAAAGCAGAUCUAGCAACAAAGUUUUCCUUUUUCGGAUAUUUUGUGGAUAUUUUGUUCCUUUUAAAUGCGAAAGGGAACAAUGGAAUCAAUAUGUUUCUAUUCUUUUAACUAUCUGUCAAAAACGUUUGUCCAUAGUCAAUGAACUUCUCCAAAAUGUCUGUCUUGACACCCCGCUCCCAGGUUCAAGACGGUGGAAGAAUGGCAGAUGAAGGUGAUUGACUACAUGGAACUGGCGGAAAUGACUGGCAGAAUCCGAGACCAGAGAGAAGAGACGGUGAAAGAAGACUGGAAGAAAUUUAAAGACUAUUUACAGAAAUAUUGUAAAAUUAAGGAAUCUUAGAAGGAUGUUGGAUAGAAACUAGGGGUUUUUUUUAGCUGUAAUGCUUUAAGAGAUAUGAAAAAAGGUUUGCAACUGGGUAAUUUUAAUGGUAAGGAUUUGCUGAAUCAACAAAUUGAACUGGAAUACAAAAAAGGGAGGUAUGAGGAGGUCCGGGGAAAUAAGUAUAAGGAAGAUAGGUUAUGGAAAUUUAAUGUCCUUUUAAUUGUUUUAUUUGGUAUGUUUUCUUUUAUUUUUUACUUCUUUGGUUAUAUUUUUUUAAACAAAACUUUAUUCUUUUGCUUUCUGUAUUCUGUAUUCUUUGUAUUUUUUUUGAAACUUUAAUAAAUAUCAUUCAAAAAAAAAAAAACAACCCAA